GACGAACGCUGGCGGCGUGCUUAACACAUGCAAGUCGAACGAAGUGGCGAACGGGUGAGUAAUACGUGAGUAACCUGCCAUCCUUUUUGGGAUAAGCCUUGGAAACGGGGUCUAAUACCGAAUAAAGGGGGAUGGGCUCGCGGCCUAUCAGCUUGUUGGUGGGGUGAUGGCCUACCAAGGCGGUGACGGGUCGACGGUCUGAGAGGGUGACCGGCCACAUUGGGACUGAGAGACGGCCCAGACUCCUACGGGAGGCAGCAGUGGGGGAUAUUGCACAAUGGAGGGAACUCUGAUGCAGCGACGCCGCGUGAACGAAGAAGGCUUUCGAGUCGUAAAGUUCUUUCGUUACCAACAGAAUAAGCACCGGCUAACUUCGUGCCAGCAGCCGCGGUAAUUC
rnacentral:rRNA from 1 species